UUUAGUGGCGGACGGGUGAGUAACACGUGAGCAACCUGCCUUCGAGAGGGGAAUAACGGCUGGAAACGGUCGCUAAUACCGCAUAACAUACCGGGAGGACAUCCUGCUGGUAUCAAAGAUUUUAUCGCUCGAAGAUGGGCUCGCGUCCGAUUAGGUAGUUGGUGAGGUAACGGCUCACCAAGCCGACGAUCGGUAGCCGGACUGAGAGGUUGAACGGCCACAUUGGGACUGAGACACGGACCAGACUCCUACGGAAGGCAGCAG
rnacentral:rRNA from 1 species